UACGGUAUAUUGCUCCAUUCAUAGUUUUAAGAAAGAAAUUCAAAAAUGUUUCUUGAAUUAUACAACAAAUAUAAUUAUGAACUGGCAGAUCCGAGAUCUAACGAUUUUUUGCUUAUGACGUCACCAUUUAAAGUGCUUGCAAUACUAGCACUUUAUCUAUGGUUUUGCUUAAAGGCCGGUCCUCAUUUUAUGAAGGAUAGAAAACCAUUUCAAUUAAGAAAAACAUUAGUAGUUUACAAUUUAAUUCAAAUUAUUUUAAGUGCAAUCUUUUUUAAAGAGGCUCUCAUGAUGUGGUUAUACGUGUACGACUUGAGAUGCACUCCUGUAGAUUAUUCAGUAAAUCCCAAGAAUACACAUUUAAUGUUUAUAGGUCAUAUAUAUUUUUUAUCAAAAAUAUCUGAACUUCUAGAUACUGUCUUCUUUGUGCUACGGAAAAAAUAUUCACAAAUUACAACAUUACAUUUAUAUCAUCACACUAUUAUGGUUGUUAUUUGUUGGGUUAUACUUAAAUACAUGGCAGGGUUUAUUUCAAAAACGACACAUGUCCAUAAAUGUUUUGUGUCCAUGUGUCGUUUUUGAAAGAAACCCUUCAAUUCUAUUGAUAUUAGGCGGUCAGAUAGGAUUUCUUGUAUUAGUUAACUCAUUUGUACACAUAGUAAUGUACACAUAUUAUUUAUUAGCUGGAUUAGGACCCAUGUUUAAAAAGUAUUUAACAUGGAAGAAGCAAAUUACGCAAUUACAAUUGGUUCAAUUUGUAAUAAUAUUGAUAUACAAUCUACAAGCUUUACCCAGGGAAUUAUUCAAAAAUAAUGCAUGUACUUCAAAUUGUGGAAAGUUUAAUUUUUAUAUACAUGUUUUCAUCGUUCUAUGUCAAGGCUUAUAACACAAAAAAGCCGAUCGAUUCAAUCAACGAAUCAAGUAAGAAAGUUUGUGAGGUCAAGAGUAGUUAAUAUAGUAUAAUUUUCAUUAACGUUGUAUGGACUUCAAAUGUUAUGGAAUAAAAAAUUGAUGUAA